AGGGUUUGAUCCUGGCUCAGAACUAACGCUGGCGGCGCGUAUUAAGCAUGCAAGUCGGACGGUAGGGAUCUCUUUUAGAGAUUUUGAGAGUGGCGAACGGGUGAGUAACACGUAGGUGGUCUGCCUCUGGAUGGGGGAUAGUCCAUGGAAACAUGGGGUAAUACCGCAUGAGGCCCUAUGGGAUAAGCUUAUGGGGUGAAAGGCACAAGAUGUGCUGUCUGGAGAUGAGCCUGCGGUCCAUUAGCUAGUUGGUGGGGUAAGAGCCCACCAAGGCGACGAUGGAUAGCCGGCCUGAGAGGGUGCACGGUCACACUGGGACUGAGACACGGCCCAGACUCCUACGGGAGGCAGCAGCUAAGAAUCUUCCGCAAUGGGCGCAAGCCUGACGGAGCGACGCCGCGUGAAUGAAGAAGGCCGUGAGGUUGUAAAGUUCUUUUCUUAGUGAAGAAUAAGGUGGGGAGUGGAAAGCCCUGCUGAUGACGUUAGCUAAGGAAUAAGCCCCGGCCAAUUACGUGCCAGCAGCCGCGGUAACACGUAUGGGGCGAGCGUUGUUCGGAAUUAUUGGGCGUAAAGGGCGCGUAGGCGGUUUAGAAAGCCUGGUGUGAAAGGCUCCGGCUCAACCGGAGAACUGCGCUGGGAACUUCUGAACUGGAGUUUAGGAGAGGGAGCUGGAAUUCCUGGUGUAGGGGUGAAAUCUGUAGAUAUCAGGAAGAACACCGGUGGCGAAGGCGAGCUCCUGGCCAUAGACUGACGCUGAGGCGCGAAAGCGUGGGGAGCGAACAGGAUUAGAUACCCUGGUAGUCCACGCUGUAAACGAUGUGCACUGGGUGUUGGUGUUUAAGAAGGCAUCAGUGCCGCAGCUAACGCGCUAAGUGCACCGCCUGGGGGAGUAUGCUCGCAAGGGUGAAACUCAAAGGAAUUGACGGGGGCCCGCACAAGCGGUGGAGCAUGUGGUUUAAUUCGAUGAUACGCGAGGAACCUUACCAGGGUUGACAUGGUGCAUGACGGUCUGUGAAGAGCAGCUUUCUCCUGAAUGGAGAAAAUGUACACCAGGUGCUGCAUGCAUGUCGUCAGCCUCGUGUCGUGAGAAUGUGGUAAGGUCCCGCAACGAGGCGCAACCCUACGCCUGUGCAGCAGUAUGGCCUGGAACUCAGCGACUGCGGUUAACCAAAAUCCGGAAGAAAGUGGGGA
rnacentral:rRNA from 1 species